GGAGAGAUGUCCGAGUGGUCGAAGGAGCCUGACUCGAAAUCAGGUGCGCUCUUUACAGGGUGCCUGGGGUUCGAAUCCCUAUCUCUCCGCCA
rnacentral:tRNA from 1 species